rnacentral:rRNA from 1 species
CGACAAACAGUGCGGCGGCAGUGUGGGAAAAUGGAGAGAGUCAUCUGAUUCCUAAUUCGUUUAGAGACUAGCUGACGCCUAGCGUAGUUAGUAUAGGCAAAGAUGUCACGGUGUACGUGGGAAAAAUUUCAAAGGAGCGUCUUGUUACACACCCGGAGGAUACAGUAAGCGUUUUUAAACGAUUUAUGGGAACGGAAAAGAUAUAUUCGCUCGCCGGAAAAAAAUACCGUCCAGAGGAACUUUCCGCGCUUGUGUUAAAAAGAUUAAAGGAAGACGCGGAGCAUUAUCUGGGGGAGGAGAUUACGGAAGCGGUCAUCAGUGUACCGGCAUAUUUUAACGACCUUGCAAGAAAUGCAACAAAAAAUGCGGGGGAACUGGCAGGAUUUCAUGUGGAGCGCAUCAUCAAUGAACCUUCGGCUGCAUCGUUAUAUUAUCAGUGCCGAAGCCAGAUGGAGGAUGCCGUCAUGCUGGUGUUUGAUUUUGGAGGGGGAACGCUCGAUGUGUCAUUAGUAGAGUGUUUUGAUAACAUUGUGGAGAUUCUGGCGGUCAGCGGAGACAAUCAUCUCGGCGGCAGUGAUUUUGACCGGUUGAUUGCAGAUAUGUUCUGGAAGUCGUGCGGUAUUGUAUGCGGCAAGGUUAAGUGCUUAAGGCACGGAGCCGAAGCGAGAGCAAGUCUGAAUAGGGCGAAUAAGUCGUAUGCAAUAGACCCGAAACCGAGUGACCUAUCCAUGUCCAGGCUGAAGUGGAGGUAAAACUCCAUGGAGGGCCGAACACACGUCCGUUGAAAAGGCCGGUGAUGAGGUGUGGAUAGCGGAGAAAUUCCAAUCGAACUCGGAUAUAGCUGGUUCUCUCCGAAAUAGCUUUAGGGCUAGCCUCGAUGUUAAGUCUACUGGAGGUAGAGCACUGAAUGGGUGAUGGCCCCACCUCGGGGUACUGAUCUCAAUCAAACUCCGAAUGCCAGAUAGAUAUAAUCGGGAGUCAGACUGUGGGUGAUAAGGUCCAUGGUCAAAAGGGAAAGAGCCCAGACCGCCAGCUAAGGCCCCCAAGUGUCCGUUAAGUGGAAAAGGAUGUGGAGAUGCACAGACAACUAGGAGGUUGGCUUAGAAGCAGCCAUCCUUUAAAGAGUGCGUAAUAGCUCACUAGUCGAGUGACUCUGCGCCGAAAAUGUACCGGGGCUAAACGGACCGCCGAAGCUGCGGAUUGACUUUAGAGUCAGUGGUAGGAGAGCGUUCUAACAGCGGUGAAGCAGUACCGGAAGGAGCUGUGGAGCGGUUAGAAGUGAGAAUGCCGGUGUGAGUAGCGAAAGAUAGGUGAGAAUCCUAUCCAUCGAAAGCCUAAGGUUUCCAGGGGAAGGCUCGUCCGCCCUGGGUAAGUCGGGACCUAAGGUGAGGCCGAAAGGCGUAGCCGAUGGACAACAGGUUGAUAUUCCUGUACCACUUAUUAAACUGAUGGAGUGACGGAGAAGGCUAAGUUGAGCGUGUGAUUGGAUUCACGUGUAAGCAGUGAGGUGGUCAUGUAGGCAAAUCCGCAUGGCAUAACAUUGAGCUGUGAUGCCGAAGCCGAAUGGCGAAGUCAACUGACGUCACGCUUCCAAGAAAAGCUUCUAGGGUUAAUUUAAUAAGUGCCCGUACCGAUAACCGACACAGGUAGGCGAGGAGAGAAUCCUAAGAUGAGCGAGAGAACUCUUGUUAAGGAACUCGGCAAAAUGACCCCGUAACUUCGGGAGAAGGGGUGCUUGUGAAAGCAAGCCGCAGUGAAUAGGCCCAGGCGACUGUUUAUCAAAAACACAGGUCUCUGCUAAACCGCAAGGUGAUGUAUAGGGGCUGACGCCUGCCCGGUGCUGGAAGGUUAAGAGGAGAGGUUAGCGCAAGCGAAGCUUUGAAUUGAAGCCCCAGUAAACGGCGGCCGUAACUAUAACGGUCCUAAGGUAGCGAAAUUCCUUGUCGGG